rnacentral:piRNA from 1 species
UAGGAAGAUCCAUCCCUGUGGAACCUUGC